UUUAAUUGAAGAGUUUGAUCAUGGCUCAGAUUGAACGCUGGCGGCAGGCCUAACACAUGCAAG
rnacentral:rRNA from 10 species